rnacentral:rRNA from 1 species
GAUGAACGCUGGCGGCGUGCUUAACACAUGCAAGUCGAACGAAGCACUUUAUUUGAUUUCCUUCGGGACUGAUUAUUUUGUGACUGAGUGGCGGACGGGUGAGUAACGCGUGGGUAACCUGCCUUGUACAGGGGGAUAACAGUUGGAAACGGCUGCUAAUACCGCAUAAGCGCACGGCAUCGCAUGAUGCAGUGUGAAAAACUCCGGUGGUAUAAGAUGGACCCGCGUUGGAUUAGCUAGUCGGUGAGGUAACGGCCCACCAAGGCGACGAUCCAUAGCCGACCUGAGAGGGUGACCGGCCACAUUGGGACUGAGACACGGCCCAAACUCCUACGGGAGGCAGCAGUGGGGAAUAUUGCACAAUGGGCGAAAGCCUGAUGCAGCGACGCCGCGUGAGCGAAGAAGUAUUUCGGUAUGUAAAGCUCUAUCAGCAGGGAAGAUAAUGACGGUACCUGACUAAGAAGCACCGGCUAAAUACGUG